rnacentral:rRNA from 1 species
GGUUAAGCGACUAAGCGUACACGGUGGAUGCCCUGGCAGUCAGAGGCGAUGAAGGACGUGCUAAUCUGCGAUAAGCGUCGGUAAGGUGAUAUGAACCGUUAUAACCGGCGAUUUCCGAAUGGGGAAACCCAGUGUGAUUCGUCACACUAUCAUUAACUGAAUCCAUAGGUUAAUGAGGCGAACCGGGGGAACUGAAACAUCUAAGUACCCCGAGGAAAAGAAAUCAACCGAGAUUCCCCCAGUAGCGGCGAGCGAACGGGGAGCAGCCCAGAGCCUGAAUCAGUGUGUGUGUUAGUGGAAGCGUCUGGAAAGGCGCGCGAUACAGGGUGACAGCCCCGUACACAAAAAUGCACAUACUGUGAGCUCGAUGAGUAGGGCGGGACACGUGGUAUCCUGUCUGAAUAUGGGGGGACCAUCCUCCAAGGCUAAAUACUCCUGACUGACCGAUAGUGAACCAGUACCGUGAGGGAAAGGCGAAAAGAACCCCGGCGAGGGGAGUGAAAAAGAACCUGAAACCGUGUACGUACAAGCAGUGGGAGCCUCUUAAUGGGGUGACUGCGUACCUUUUGUAUAAUGGGUCAGCGACUUAUAUUCUGUAGCAAGGUUAACCGAAUAGGGGAGCCGAAGGGAAACCGAGUCUUAACUGGGCGUUAAGUUGCAGGGUAUAGACCCGAAACCCGGUGAUCUAGCCAUGGGCAGGUUGAAGGUUGGGUAACACUAACUGGAGGACCGAACCGACUAAUGUUGAAAAAUUAGCGGAUGACUUGUGGCUGGGGGUGAAAGGCCAAUCAAACCGGGAGAUAGCUGGUUCUCCCCGAAAGCUAUUUAGGUAGCGCCUCGUGAAUUCAUCUCCGGGGGUAGAGCACUGUUUCGGCAAGGGGGUCAUCCCGACUUACCAACCCGAUGCAAACUGCGAAUACCGGAGAAUGUUAUCACGGGAGACACACGGCGGGUGCUAACGUCCGUCGUGAAGAGGGAAACAACCCAGACCGCCAGCUAAGGUCCCAAAGUCAUGGUUAAGUGGGAAACGAUGUGGGAAGGCCCAGACAGCCAGGAUGUUGGCUUAGAAGCAGCCAUCAUUUAAAGAAAGCGUAAUAGCUCACUGGUCGAGUCGGCCUGCGCGGAAGAUGUAACGGGGCUAAACCAUGCACCGAAGCUGCGGCAGCGACACUUAUGUGUUGUUGGGUAGGGGAGCGUUCUGUAAGCCUGCGAAGGUGUGCUGUGAGGCAUGCUGGAGGUAUCAGAAGUGCGAAUGCUGACAUAAGUAACGAUAAAGCGGGUGAAAAGCCCGCUCGCCGGAAGACCAAGGGUUCCUGUCCAACGUUAAUCGGGGCAGGGUGAGUCGACCCCUAAGGCGAGGCCGAAAGGCGUAGUCGAUGGGAAACAGGUUAAUAUUCCUGUACUUGGUGUUACUGCGAAGGGGGGACGGAGAAGGCUAUGUUGGCCGGGCGACGGUUGUCCCGGUUUAAGCGUGUAGGCUGGUUUUCCAGGCAAAUCCGGAAAAUCAAGGCUGAGGCGUGAUGACGAGGCACUACGGUGCUGAAGCAACAAAUGCCCUGCUUCCAGGAAAAGCCUCUAAGCAUCAGGUAACAUCAAAUCGUACCCCAAACCGACACAGGUGGUCAGGUAGAGAAUACCAAGGCGCUUGAGAGAACUCGGGUGAAGGAACUAGGCAAAAUGGUGCCGUAACUUCGGGAGAAGGCACGCUGAUAUGUAGGUGAAGUCCCUUGCGGAUGGAGCUGAAAUCAGUCGAAGAUACCAGCUGGCUGCAACUGUUUAUUAAAAACACAGCACUGUGCAAACACGAAAGUGGACGUAUACGGUGUGACGCCUGCCCGGUGCCGGAAGGUUAAUUGAUGGGGUUAGCGGUAACGCGAAGCUCUUGAUCGAAGCCCCGGUAAACGGCGGCCGUAACUAUAACGGUCCUAAGGUAGCGAAAUUCCUUGUCGGGUAAGUUCCGACCUGCACGAAUGGCGUAAUGAUGGCCAGGCUGUCUCCACCCGAGACUCAGUGAAAUUGAACUCGCUGUGAAGAUGCAGUGUACCCGCGGCAAGACGGAAAGACCCCGUGAACCUUUACUAUAGCUUGACACUGAACAUUGAGCCUUGAUGUGUAGGAUAGGUGGGAGGCUUUGAAGUGUGGACGCCAGUCUGCAUGGAGCCGACCUUGAAAUACCACCCUUUAAUGUUUGAUGUUCUAACGUUGGCCCCUGAUCGGGGUUGCGGACAGUGUCUGGUGGGUAGUUUGACUGGGGCGGUCUCCUCCUAAAGAGUAACGGAGGAGCACGAAGGUUGGCUAAUCCUGGUCGGACAUCAGGAGGUUAGUGCAAUGGCAUAAGCCAGCUUGACUGCGAGCGUGACGGCGCGAGCAGGUGCGAAAGCAGGUCAUAGUGAUCCGGUGGUUCUGAAUGGAAGGGCCAUCGCUCAACGGAUAAAAGGUACUCCGGGGAUAACAGGCUGAUACCGCCCAAGAGUUCAUAUCGACGGCGGUGUUUGGCACCUCGAUGUCGGCUCAUCACAUCCUGGGGCUGAAGUAGGUCCCAAGGGUAUGGCUGUUCGCCAUUUAAAGUGGUACGCGAGCUGGGUUUAGAACGUCGUGAGACAGUUCGGUCCCUAUCUGCCGUGGGCGCUGGAGAACUGAGGGGGGCUGCUCCUAGUACGAGAGGACCGGAGUGGACGCAUCACUGGUGUUCGGGUUGUCAUGCCAAUGGCACUGCCCGGUAGCUAAAUGCGGAAGAGAUAAGUGCUGAAAGCAUCUAAGCACGAAACUUGCCCCGAGAUGAGUUCUCCCUGACUCCCUGAGAGUCCUGAAGGAACGUUGAAGACGACGACGUUGAUAGGCCGGGUGUGUAAGCGCAGCGAUGCGUUGAGCUAACCGGUACUAAUGAACCGUGAGGCUUAACCUU